CCGAAGGUCGGGGCGCCAGCACCCCCAAGCGGAAAAAUGGCCAAAAAACGGGUGGGCUAUAGACUUGGUGGGGGGCGUGGGCGAAGUUCGUCCGCCGGACUCGGAAUGGCCCCAGACUUUGCGGGCGGCCUCCGUGUGCCAAAAAUAGGCCACGGGCACAGCCGCGCCCAAAAAUGAGCGCCCGAAGGUCCGGGCGCCAACACCCCCCAGCAGAAAAAUGGCCCAGAAACGGGUGUGCUAUAGCCUUGGCGGGGGGCGUGGGCGAAGUUCGUCCGCCGGACUCGGAAUGGCCCCAGACUUUGCGGGCGGCCUCCGUGUGCCAAAAAUAGGCCACGGGCACAGCCGCGCCCAAAAAUGAGCGCCCGAAGGUCGGGGCGCCAACACCCCCCAGCGGAAAAAUGGCCCAGAAACGGGUGUGCUAUAGCCUUGGCGGGGGGCGUGGGCGAAGUUCGUCCGCCGGACUCGGAAUGGCCCCAGACUUUGCGGGCGGCCUCCGUGUGCCAAAAAUAGGCCACGGGCACAGCCGCGCCGAAAAAUGAGCGCCGGAAGGUCGGGGCGCCAACACCCCCCAGCGGAAAAUUGGCCGAAAAACGGGUGGCCUAUAGCCUUGGUGGGGGGCGUGGGCGAAGUUCGUCCGCCGGACUCGGAAUGGCCCCAGACUUUGCGGGCGGCCUCCGUGCGCCAAAAAUAGGCCACGAGCACAGCCGCGCCCAAAAAUGAGCGCCCGAAGGUCGGGGCGCCAACACCCCCCAGCGGAAAAAUGGCCCAGAAACGGGUGGGCUAUAGCCUUGGCGGGGGGCGUGGGCGAAGCUCGUCCGCCGGACUCGGAAUGGCCCCAGACUUUGCGGGCGGCCUCCGUGCGCCAAAAAAAGGCCACGGGCACAGCCGCGCCCAAAAAUGAGCGUCCGAAGGUCGGGGCGCCAGCACCCCCCAGCGGAAAAAUGGCCAAAAAACGGGUGGGCUAUAGCCUUGGUGGGGGGCGUGGGCGAUGCUC
rnacentral:lncRNA from 1 species